rnacentral:rRNA from 1 species
UACGUAGGGUGCGAGCGUUAAUCGGAAUUACUGGGCGUAAAGCGUGCGCAGGCGGUCUGUUAAGACAGAUGUGAAAUCCCCGGGCUUAACCUGGGAACUGCAUUUGUGACUGGCAGGCUAGAGUAUGGCAGAGGGGGGUAGAAUUCCACGUGUAGCAGUGAAAUGCGUAGAGAUGUGGAGGAAUACCGAUGGCGAAGGCAGCCCCCUGGGCCAAUACUGACGCUCAUGCACGAAAGCGUGG